CAUAGAUUGAUUUUAGGACUUAUAAGGUUUAAUAACUUAUUGGUUGUGGAUUCCCCUCCAAUAUCAAUGACUUCAGUAGCACUCAGUGGUGCACAUCUGAUCAAUUAGUGAAGGCAAGACUUCUGUAUUAUGAAACCGAAGAUAAAGAUAUAAUCACAGCUCAGCUACACUUGUUAAUGAGCUACCUUGGACUAGAAAUGAUAUCAGCGGCAUUGCUAUUAACAAGUUAAAUAACACCACGUGCAUUACUUACAACACAGUGUUCUUGAAGGUCACUGAGAAGCAGUGAUGAGCACAGUGAUUGCACCAUGUGAUAUGUGAGCAUCAGCUGUGGGAGUCAGGGAAACAUUGGAUGAGUUGCAUGGAGGAUGAGAUUCUUCUACAUACCAAGGAGCUGUGUGACUCUAGAAACUAAGUUCAAGAGAAUCUGAUACACAGAAAAGGGAAUCACGUGGUUUCACCAGCAGAUUCGGAUCAGGCAGGGAUGUGGCUUUGGGUAAGAAAAUAUUGAGGGAUACCAGUGUGUUACUUCCAGGGCAGGAUACAUAAAAUAUUCAACUGUAUGCCAAGAAGGUUGAGAUUCACAUGCAGCAAUUGAGUAGCAUAUUUCUAUGUCUCCAUGAACAUGUCACCAUGGAGUGAGGUGUAACACUGAAAACAUCCAAAAGUCAUCUUUCAUGGAUAUCGGCAGCAAUGUAGAGAAUGGCUUGGAGGAUCUUUGGACUAUGUUUUGAAGUAAUGGAAUCUGAGCUCUACAGGCUCACUGACUUUGUCCACAUAGCAGUUGUUCAUUCUUUUUACAGGGGCCUCAGCCGCCAUUAUGUUUUCAAAAGCUUACAGAGAAUAAUUGCUGCCAUAAGAAAGACGACUGAAAUUGACAAUAAACUGAAUUUGGCUGCAAGUACAUUGUAAUUCUGUUCUAUAUUGGUAAGUUGCACUGCUGGGACAAGUGUUUGUUUAAAACCAAAACACCAGACAAAGCCCCGACUUUAAUGGAAAU
rnacentral:lncRNA from 1 species